GUGAGGAAUAUUGCGCAAUGGAGGCAACUCUGACGCAGCCAUGCCGCGUGCAGGAAGAAGGCGCUACGCGUUGUAAACUGCUUUUAACCGGGAAGAAACCCCAGGACGUGUCCUGGGUUGACGGUACCGGAGGAAUAAGCACCGGCUAACUUCGUGCCAGCGGCCGCGGUAAUACGAAGGGUGCAAGCGUUAUCCGGAUUCAUUGGGUUUAAAGGGUGCGUAGGCGGAGCGUUAAGUCAGUGGUGAAAUCCUGCAGCUUAACUGUAGACUUGCCAUUGAUACUGGCGCUCUUGAGUGCGCUUGAAGUGGGCGGAAUGUGCCGUGUAGCGGUGAAAUGCUUAGAUAUGGCACAGAACACCAAUUGCGAAGGCAGCUCACUAAGGCGAUACUGACGCUGAGGCACGAAAGCGUGGGGAUCGAACAGGAUUAGAAACCCUUGUAGUCC
rnacentral:rRNA from 1 species